CUGGAAGCCACUCUCUUAGUGAGCUCUUCUAGCCUGCCAGGAGAAUGAAUGAACAGUUUCCUUCCAGCAGAGCUGCCUCCAUUGGUUGCCAGUGCAUUCAGGCUUAGUUCAUGUGGCUGUUCCAAGCACUGAGAUUAGGAGUGGAGCCACCCGUGUGAACAGAAAUCUUAAAAAAAUAGGUGCAGGAGACCUGCUUUAAAAAUGAAGGGAAAAAAAGGAAAACAGAACGUAUGUGUAAAGAAUGUGCCUGAAUCCAGGAAAGUAACACCAAUGGAAAGGAUGGUACAAAGAAAGGUGGUUAUG